rnacentral:rRNA from 1 species
GACGAACGCUGGCGGCGUGCUUAACACAUGCAAGUCGAACGAAGAGCGAUGGAAGCUUGCUUCUAUCAAUCUUAGUGGCGAACGGGUGAGUAACGCGUAAUCAACCUGCCCUUCAGAGGGGGACAACAGUUGGAAACGACUGCUAAUACCGCAUACGAUCUAAUCUCGGCAUCGAGGAUAGAUGAAAGGUGGCCUCUACAUGUAAGCUAUCACUGAAGGAGGGGAUUGCGUCUGAUUAGCUAGUUGGAGGGGUAACGGCCCACCAAGGCGAUGAUCAGUAGCCGGUCUGAGAGGAUGAACGACCACAUUGGGACUGAGACACGGCCCAGACUCCUACGGGAGGCAGCAGUGGGGAAUCUUCCGCAAUGGACGAAAGUCUGACGGAGCAACGCCGCGUGAGUGAUGACGGCCUUCGGGUUGUAAAGCUCUGUUAAUCGGGACGAAAGGCCUUCUUGCGAAUAGUGAGAAGGAUUGACGGUACCGGAAUAGAAAGCCACGGCUAACUACGUG